rnacentral:rRNA from 1 species
GAUGAACGCUGGCGGCGUGCCUAAUACAUGCAAGUCGAGCGAACGGACGAGGAGCUUGCUUCUCUGACGUUAGCGGCGGACGGGUGAGUAACACGUGGAUAACCUACCUAUAAGACUGGGAUAACUUCGGGAAACCGGAGCUAAUACCGGAUGAUAUAUUGAACCGCAUGGUUCAAUAGUGAAAGACGGUCUUGCUGUCACUUAUAGAUGGAUCCGCGCUGCAUUAGCUAGUUGGUAAGGUAACGGCUUACCAAGGCAACGAUGCAUAGCCGACCUGAGAGGGUGAUCGGCCACACUGGAACUGAGACACGGUCCAGACUCCUACGGGAGGCAGCAGUAGGGAAUCUUCCGCAAUGGGCGAAAGCCUGACGGAGCAACGCCGCGUGAGUGAUGAAGGUCUUCGGAUCGUAAAACUCUGUUAUUAGGGAAGAACAAAUGUGUAAGUAACUGUGCACAUCUUGACGGUACCUAAUCAGAAAGCCACGGCUAACUACGUG